rnacentral:lncRNA from 1 species
UGUAGCUUUAAUAUACAAUCCAGCUGCUUGAAUAUGAGUAGGCUUGCACAUAAUCAAAGCAUGGCUCGAGGUAGGGAUUUAAUGUGAGGGUCCUAGCCAGGGCUGGCAAGCCAUAUAUGUGCUAAUGUGGCAAUUUCAACCUUGGACUUAAGGUCAAGAUUGAUUUAGUGAAAAAUAUUAUUCUGCAUUGCAAUAGAUGCCUUCUGAAUUGGAUUGUGGGGGAUUCUGGAGGAUGGGUGAGUGUGGGGGUUAGACGACCCAAAUAGCUGAAGCAAGAACUGCUUUAAGGCAGGGUGCAAUGACACAUAAUAUUUUUCUCUUAUACAUAGGAAAAUGCUUUGUUGGUAGGCUGCAUAUUUUGGCAAUUUUGAGAAAUAACAAGUUUUUUUUUUUAAAACUCAUCUUAUUAUAGAAAAUGUCAAAUAUUCCCUAACUCACCUGAAGCUCAACUUCUAACUUACUUAAUUUUGACUUUAUGGUGCUGUGAAAACAAUUCACGCCAGCGGAAGCCAUGCUUGGAAGCUGGAACUCGGCUCCUUUCCCUGCCACCACUGUUCCAUCUAACCCUCUCCAGCAGCACCUGUGGGUCCCAAUUCGCCCACAGACCACAAGGAGACACAUCAAGGCAGACCUGGGAUGUUGGCAUUAGAGUCUGGUUCUUCAGGAUUCCAGUGUAUACUGAAGACCGGACAAGACAUCCACUCUCAUGGCCUGAACAACUACUGGAUUCACGGACCUUCUAUUGGCAGUCAGUCAUUGUUGGACUAGCUGGACCACAGUCUGUACUUAGGGUGCUGGGGGAUGGAACUCCAGAUUUCUGCUUGGAGAUCAAAUAUAUCCUGGACUUGCCUGAAAGGGGACAAUAGUCCCAACUUGAGCUGUUAAAGCGAGGAUGGCUUGCACAGAACAAGAUCACAACUGAUAUAGCAGGACUAUGAGUAUAAUCAGCCAUGGUGUUUCCAACUCACCUCAGACACUGAAGUGACUCCUCCUACUGUCAUCAAAACGUGUUCUCAAAUGGCAAUGGCAUCAUGGCAAUGCUGAGAUGGAGUCUUCAGGAUGGAGCUUUUUGAAGCCAGCACAGGGACUCUCUAGGUCAGGUCUGGGCCAGCUAGUCUAUGCUAGCCCAGAAGGACUGAACACCACAUUGCCACCUGUGUGAUCUGCUGGCCAGAGUGUUCCCUGACAGGAAG